CCAUUAUCUUUUAUUAUACAAGUUUACAGUUAAAAGAACAUAUCACUUACAAAGGAAACUGCAGGAAAGGAAAAAUGGUCAAAGCUCAAAACAUAAUUUUCAUCGAGAGGAAUGGACCAGACUAUGGAAAGUGCUAAUACCUCCAGCAACUAAGAGUAUUUUGUGGAGAGCAUGCAUGAAUAUUUUGCCUACUAGGGUCAAUUUGUGCAAAAAGAAUAUCAUUCAAGACUCUAGUUGUCCAACGUGCCUCAGAGAACAAGAAACUAUUGAACAUAUUCUAUGGGAGUGUACUUCUGCAACUGAUAUUCUGAGUCUAAGUUCGAGGAAAAUUCAGAAAUCAAAGUCUUCUUGCAAGAGUUUUCAAGAACUUAUGCAUAACAUGUGUAGCAGGCUUAAUAAGGAAGAAUUGACAGAAUUAACUCUGAUUUUCUGGGAUAUCUGAAAAAGAAGAAAUGAGUUAGUUUUCAACGAGGUUAUUAGUGAUCCAAAGAAUGUGAUGUUCAGAGUAAAGAGCAUGUUGUCUGGCUUAUCUAUAACAAAUACUGUUAAGGAUGCUCAGGUUUCAACUACAAGCAAUAGGAGGGUUUUUUGGGAAUGUCCACCUCAAGGUUAUUGUAAAAUAAACUGAGAUGUGGCAGUUCAACCAAACUUUUGUAAAAUAGGCAUAGGAAUUGUUGUAAGAGAUGAGGAAGGGAAUUUUUUGGCAACUUUGAGGCAGCAACAAGAUGCAUUUUCAGAUCCACUUCUAGCAAAGGUA